AUUGAACGCUGGCGGCAGGCCUAACACAUGCAAGUCGAGCGAGCGGCGGACGGGUGAGUAAUGUCUGGGAAACUGCCUGAUGGCGGGGGAUAACUCCUGGAAACGGUAGCUAAUACCACAUACCAUCAGAUGUGCCCAGGUGGGAUUAGCUAGUAGGUGGGGUAACGGCUCACCUAGGCGACGAUCCCUAGCUGGUCUGAGAGGAUGACCAGCCACACGGGCACUGAGACACGGUCCAGACUCCUACGGGAGGCAGCAGUGGGGAAUAUUGCACAAUGGGCGCAAGCCUGACGCAGCCAUGACGCGGGUGAGAAGAAGGCUUUCGGAUUGUAAAGCACUGUCAGCGGGGAGGCGUUACCCGCAGAAGAAGCACCGGCUAACUCCGUGCCAGCAGCCGCGGUAAUAU
rnacentral:rRNA from 1 species